UCACAUUACAGUGGGCAAAAAACAUGAACAGACAUUUCACCAAAGAGGAUAUAUGUUAUAGAUAGCAAAUUAAUACCUGAAUAUAUGCUCAACAUCUUUAGCUGUUAGAGACGAAUUAAGACCAUGAUGCUAAAUCACUAAACACCCAUUAGAACAAGUAAAAAACAUUUUUUUAAUCCUGACAAUAUUAAAUGCUGGUGAGGAUUUGGAGAAACUACAUCUCUCAUACAUAGCUAAUAAGAAUGUACAGUGGUACAGUCAUUCUGGAAAAUAAUUUGGCAGUUUCUUAAAAGAAAAACAAUCAUACAAUACCAUACAACCCAGCAACUGCAUUCUUGGGCUUUUCUCCCAGCAAAAUAAAAACAUAUGCCUACAAAUUCAUGUGUACAUGAAUGUUCAUAGCAUCUUUACUUGCCACAGUCAAAACUUAGAAACAAUCCAAACGUCCUUCAGUGGGUGAAUGGUUAAACAAACUGUGGUACAUUCAUAUCAUGGAACAUUACUCAGAAAUAAAAAGGAACAACCAUUGACACAUGCAACAACUUGGAUGAUCUUCAAGGGAAUUACGGUGAGUGAAAAAACCCAUCUCAAUGGUUACAUGCUAUACGAUUUCAAUUAUAUUCUCAAAAUAACAAAGUUACAGAGAUGGAGAACAGAUUAGCUGCUUGUCAACAGUUAGGAAUGCCGUGAUGACAAAAGGAGGAGAGGAGGUUUGGUGUGACUAUGAGGUAGCACAAGGGAUCUUUGUGCUGACAGAACAGUUCUGCAUCUUGUUUGAGGUUAUACAAAUCUACUCCUGAUAAAAGCACAUAAAACCACAAAGACACAGACACACAUGCACACAAGGGCAUGUAAAACUGGUGAAAUCUGAAUAAGGUUUGUAGAUUGUACCAAUGUGCUGGUUUUGAUAUGAUAUACCAUGCUGUAUCAUGUUAUGUAAGAUGCUAUCAUUGGGAGAAACUAGGUGAAGGGCAACUGGGGCCUCUCUGUCCUGUUUUUGCAACUUCUUAUGAAUCUAUAAUUAUUUCAAAAUAAAAAGUUUAAAAAAAAAUGACCUCCAAUCCAGUGGCGUCACUUUUAGGAAUUUAUCCAGGAUACACUCAUACAUAGGUACAAAGAAGUAUACACAUGAAUGUUCACUGCAACCCUGUUUAUAAUGGCAAAAAGACUAUACUCAACCCAGACUCUCUCCAGUGUUGGCACAGCCAUAGGUUGACAGGGUAUGCAGCCAGUUAAAAGGAACAAGACAUUUACUGUAUAAUGAAUGCUUACCUCAAUUAAAACAUUUUUUUAAAGAAAACAAUGAUUUCCAAGAUAUACUAUUAAGGGGAUAAAGUAAGACACAGAGGAAUACUAAUAUCUGUGUUAGAAAGAGAGGGAAAGAGAGAGAGGUAUUUAUACAUCAGAUACCUGGAAAGGUCCCAGGAAUCUGAACAUAGUAAUUACCUCUAGAAAGAGAAACUGGGUGCCCUUUGAAUUUUGUAGCUUAUGAAUAAAUCAAUAUUCAUUAAUCUAAAGAUUCCCACUACCACCACCACUGGUUUCGUACUCAGGUCAGUCACCAAGACUUUAUCAAAUCUCUCUCUCUCUGGUUUCCACAGGAUUACUUUGCCACAAUGGUGUUUUCCUCUUUAUGCUCCUCCUAACACUGUAUAUAUUAAUGUAAACCACAGCUCUAACACGUGACCCUUCCUGAUACAAUAUGCCUUCUAGGACAUAGUUUAUUCACCACUCUGAAAGAAAUCUCUCAUGAGCAGCAUACCCCAACGUAUCAGUCAGGAUCCAAUCAGGAGGGAGAUAGAAACCACACAGGAGGGAGAUAGAAACAAAUCACUAGGCAUUUGUUUGUUUUUUUCUAUAAAAUCUAGAUUCUGCACAAACUAGUAAUUUGAAUAGAGAAAAUUAAAUAUAGAAAAUUGUUAAUAAAAGAUGGUUUACUAAAAGUUAUAAAGAAGAUUCUAACGGGUACGGAAAUAACAAAGGGAGAAAGAAUACUAAGAACUCAUGAGUCACUCCCCAGCACUAUUCCAGGGCUGAGACUCAGAACUCUUUGGAGAGGGCAUAGUUGCCACAGGAACUUGGGCUGUAGAUGGAAGAAAUUUACCAAGGGGAAAGGCCAGAGCUGAUCGAAUCAGAGCACCUCACCCGGUAGAAGAAUCACUGGAGGUUCUGGGUAGGCCAAAGGUGUUCUGUAGGGACAUUUUACCAGGCAGCAGAGAAACUUGAAAGGAAGGUGUGGGCCACCCUUACGAAGGUUGUUGAGGUGAGACUGACCUUCUGCAGGCCAAUCUGCUGGCAGCCAAUCAAAUAACAGCACACCAGAACCAGAAAGAGAAGCCUAUUCCCCUUGCUAUUGCCUUACUGUGUCCCUCCAAUGAAAAAGCCUAACACUGAACCUGCUCACAAAGGAGAAACCUGUACAAGCAUCGAGUUUCAACACUGCAAAGCAAGGUGUACCUUAGAGCUCACAGAUAACAAAUUGAUAACUGGUACACCCCACUAUUUUGAAGAUGAAUUACAGUGCGGUGAUUACUAUAAUUUAAUGGUGUGCUGAUGUUAUAAAAGUAUGGAAGAGGGAAAAAGUGAAUUUUUAAUUACUCCUUACUAGAUAUUGCUAUGACUACUUAGUCUUCCAUAUAUAUUUGUGUGUGUGUUCAUUUCUUCAGAUACAAUCUGUGAUCAUCCCCAUACAAGUAGAUUUCAAGAUUUUGUAGUAUAUGUGUGGAAAAUAAAUAUCUGAUUUUCAUAAAUCAAUGAGAACAUGGAUAACAUUGAUGUAAACACAUCUUUGCUCAAUUAGCUUUAAGAGCAUUAAUUCUGGUCUAUUUUUUUUUCUCAUAUGGGAUAAUACUAACAAUGGCAAAUACCUUAUGCUGUUCAUAAUGUGAAGAAUCACAAAAACACACAUCUGUUAUUUGAUAUGUACAAACUAAGGUAGAUUUCACAGAUGUGAAUUUGAGCUGACUCUUGAAGGGUAAGAACACAUUCCAGGCAGGGAAAGAAACAUUUACAGAGGUAUGGAGAUGCGAAAAGGAAUGGUGUGUUGAGAGGCUGCAAAAGAAUGUAUGUGGCGCUCACGUCUUUGGGAGGGAAGGAUUAGAUGAGGCUGAAAGAUAAUUAGUAAAUUUGGGACGGGGCCAAGGAAUCUGCAUUUUAAUCACACACCUACCAUUGGAUGCUAAUGCUCAUGACCCACACAAGACAAAUACUGUAUAAAAAGAUUUUUACUUAGUACUAUAGGUCUCCAAAGUAAGGCACACACACCUCAGGGAACAUGCAAGAUAAUUCAGUGGGAUGCUAGAAGAAGAUGUUAAAAUACAUAUUUGUAUUUAAAUUCAACUUUAUUAAUAGUUAAUAUAUGGGUACAGAUGGCUUCAUCUGAUCUGUAUAUAAGGUGAGGGGAGAAUAAGACCUGACAGUGAAGCCUUAUCCCCUCGCAUCCAGCAUACCAUGACAGAUAACAGUUUACAGAUGCCACACAAAAUGGAAAGUGGCACAAAAAGAUUUCUAGGAAAAAAAAAAUCAAUAGAUUAAAAGAUAACAGUAAUAAUGCAAGCAUAUGGGAACAAGGAAAUGGCAGAGUUAACCCUUCCCCUAAACCUGUAUUAGCUCUUUGCCAAAUUACAAGGACAAAAAUUAUAAAAUCAGAUGACCAGAAGUCUGUGAAUACUUUUAGAAAAAAGUUUGUGCCACGUAAAGAACAUUUUGAAACAUCUUGAAUAUUAAAAACAUUGUAUUUUGUGCUUUUGUGGCUGCAAACAUAUUACCUACCAAAACUUUUUUAUCUUCACAAUAUAACAACUUAGAAAUAAUUUCCUGACCUAUUUAAAAAUCUCCAUAACCUCAAAAGAAGUUGUUUUAAAAAAUAUUCCAAAGGGCUUUAGUGGCUUUUAGAAAGCUACUUGUUAAAAAUAUGUAAGUUCUGAUUAGUUGCAAGAACAAAUGUUGUUCUUCCAUGAAGGCAAACAUUUGUUGUCACUAGGGUUGUGAAAUUUAGAAUGCUUUCACUCACUCUACUCCUCUGGCUCAGCUGUCACUUCUAAGUUUUGCUAAGAUAGCUUACUUUAGUACUGAUAGUUACUAGUGUGAGAUUUUUCCAUGUAUUAUCUUUUCUGCUUGAAGAUUACUUAACACUUAUGUUAUAAAUACCCAGUCACUCUAUCAGAGAAUACAGGCCUUUGUUAUAAUUUGCUGUCUGUUUAAAGUUUUUAAGUUAUUUUCCUUAUGUGAAGUUAUACACAUACAGAUAUAUCAUUUGGAUCAUUACAUAUCCUCAAGAUGAAUGAUCUUACCUGAAAAAGGGAUUCUUGGUUGCAUUCUAAAGUCUAGAGAUGUCAUUUUCUUUUUCCUUUGUAAAUUCCUCUUUUUACCCUGAAAUUCAAGAAUUUGAAUAUCUCCUCCAUGUUUAAUAGCAUCUCAAACUCAACAUUCCGAAACUAAAUUGAUUCCUCCAGCUGCUACCACUGCAAAAUCUGAUCCUUACACAAUCCUCCCCAUCACAGUAUAAACAGAAACUCCAUCCUGUUACUGAGGGGAAAAAAAAAAAAAAGAAGUGUUUUUGAUUUGUAUCUCACACAUUGUAAUCCUAUCCAUCUACUUUCAAAAUAUUUACAGAAUCUCACCAUUUGUUUUACUCCACUGAUACCACACGGGUCCAAGCCUGUGUCAUUUCUUGUCUAUAUUGUUGCAAUAUCCAAUGAUCUGGUGUCCUAGCUUCUGCCUUUGCUACCAACAAGAAGGUUGAGUCAAUUACUCUUAAAUCACGUAUCACUCCUCUGCUUACAGCUCCUCAAAUGGCUUCCCAUAUGUAUCAGCAAAUUAAAGCCAAAAAGGCUUCCAUUCAUCUACAAAGCUCCGUAAUCUUGUUCACUACUGCCUCUGCCCUCAUUGCUCACUCUUCUUGCUCCCUCCACACUAGCCAAGUGGAUUCCUUAAUGGUCCUUUAAAUGGCAGGUAUGUUCCUGCCUGCCUUAAACCUCCUGUUCCCUAUCUGGAAUGCUGCUCCCCCUGCCCUUGCUCUCCCCCCACCACCACAUAUUUACCACACUAGAUACCUCACUUCAAAUUGCUGAUCAAAUAUCUUAUCUGAGAUGUCUCUGACCAUCCAUAUAAAAUAGUAAAUCCUGCCACUACCUUAUCCCAACAUAGCCUAGUCACUCUACUAUGCUUUAUUUUUUUUUUUGUAUUACUUAUUACCACCUGAGACAUAUUUAUUCAUUUACUUCCUUCCACCCAAUAAAGGAACUAACAUUGCUUUGUUCACCCUGUAUUCCCAGCAACUAAAACAGUACUUGUCACUGCAGGAAGUAACAAUAAAUAUUUGAAUGAAAUUUAUCUGCCUAGGUGUGUCCCCACACUCCAACCCCACCCAUGUUGCUUGGAACCUAUUAGAGUGAGAGCCCUUUCGAACUAAAGUUUCCUAUAGUAUUUAGUAAUUGUGCCCUCCUGUAUCGUUUCCCUUUUUCUCCUUGUGGUUCUUCACUUACUCACAUUAAAUAUCUUAGACUCGUCUUCUAGGUGUUUUGAUUUUUGAAAUCUCCGUGUCUUUGGAUUUUUACUUUUCCAAAGAUAACUACUUCUACAUGAUAUCCAAGGCCACUAUUUAGUCCCCAAUAGUGGCCAUGCCUCUCUUUUUCUACCACAUUUUAAUGUAGUUUAAUUGCUAGAAAGUUUAUUUUAUACUGACUGAAUUUUCUCAGGUGCUUUUUCAAAAUUAAAGUUGUCAUUCAUCUCCACCAGCAAUUCUUUUUCACCAUCCAUUUCUUCUGUGUUCCUGUUCUCUCUAGAUGCUAUUUUUCUUUAGGUUUCCUUAGAUAUUCUUCUUUGUCCACUCACUCCCCAUUUAGCAUAAAUCAAAUUGUGGGAUACUCUUGAGCGGAAACAAACUUGUGAGCAAUAGAAGGCAGCUCUCUUCUGUAGGCUGAUUAUCUACUAACCAGCAAGUUGCCACUCCUCAUCACAGAUGACAGGAGGAAAAUCUCUUCCAAUGUCUUUUUUGUUUUUUUGCUAUUUACUUCCCCUCCCCCAGCCUCACAGGGAGAUGUGGAAUUGUGCCCACCAUGCAGCAACCAAACAGGUACUCUGAAGCUAGUCUUCCUAGUACCAUACAUAUGAACUGCACCGCUUUUCCUCUAAAUCCAUGUAUCUUUGAAAGCAAGGUUCUUUCCGUUCAGACCUUUGCUGAAGGCUUCACAGCUGCCCGUCUCUAAACCUUCAUCUGGAUUACAGGAAGAAAAUCAAAGCAAGCUCUCUUUCCCAUCUUCUGGUAAAAUCAAGGGACUGUAUACACUCUUAUUUGCCCAAAGGCUCCAGGCUCACAGCAGCUGCUCUAUUCAAGACAGGGUAGUUGGCAGAUGGAAACAGAGAUUGAGGGGAGGGAAUUUAAGAUACAUAAUCAAACCAUCUCCCUAGAACCUGUUUACCAUGAAAGAUGUAACUAAGUUUAAAAGUGGGUGGAAAAUAAAUAAAUACAGGGUGACAAGAUGAAAAUACAAGAAAGAGAUACAGUAAUAGUGCAAAAUGCAUGACAGAGUAGGAAAGGUGUAGGAGAAAUACAUAUGAAGGACAAGUCCCUGAUGGGUGACAGGAUGUUUAAAACACUGGAAUACGAGGAAAUAAAAGAUUCUUACAUGCAUACAGGUUUGUGACAUAUAGCAUUAAGAAGUCCAUGGCUUCUGUUUCCUCUGUCAUGAAAAGGUAAACAACUUCAUGCUUGCUAACAUGGAAAUGGAUUUGGGUAAGAUCUAGAUAAAGUUCAGAAUAGCAUCUAACCAUCUCACUGUAGGCAAAGAAAAUUCACAACCUCCCAAGAAUUCUCCCCUAAAACCCAGAACAAAGCAAACUGAGGAAAUCAGCCAGCCCAUAGAAAAGUCAAAGAAAAAUCCUCAAGAAUGAAAAUGCUUUCCUACCACACUAAAAUCUCCAGGGAUUCCUUUUAGCCAGCCACCCACCAUUGGGAACUGCUCAGGAUAUUCUCUCUUAGUAAUGAAUUGCACAUACAACUGGGGGAAGUGACCCCCCAACUGGGGCAAGUGACCCCAGCACUUAAUGAAACCUUAGAGGGCAUAGCUCAGAUUUUCCAACAAAGGUUUUAACCACUUUCAGUAUCAUUAAGCGACAAAAGUAGCAAAGAAUACAAGAACUAGCCUCACAUGAGAGCAAACUUAGAAAACAAGACUCAGAGGGUGGGAAGGCUGUCAAUAGUGUCUUAGUAAAAGUCUUCAUCAUCUGGGCUAAUGGGACAAGUAUGUAAUUCUUUAACAAUUUGGAUGUUGGAGAAAGGCACUGAAAUGAUCUAUACCUUUAACAUUUUAUUAAUUCAUCUUUAAAUAUAUUUUCAUCUUUAAAUAUUCAUCUUUAAAUAUCUAAUCAAAGUUUUUAAAGCAUGGAUCCUGUAAAGCUAAUGCCAACCAGUCACCGGUUACCUUCUCCUUGUUGCCAUCUUUCUUCUCACUCCUAUGCUUGUCAUUCUCAUUUCAACACUUACACGAGUAAUUGCAGCCCCAUAGAUCCUUGACUCCUCAUUUUAAUGAAUACCUCACCCUCUCUAUCUCAGUUACUUCCAAGGUCUUGACUUUUUCUCAUCAAUAUCAGAUCACCUCUGAAGUCUUGACUUCACACAUCCCAUCCUCUGACCACCUCCCCCUAUCUUUCAGGCUCACUUCAUUGUUGUUAUCAGUUCACAGGACAGCACCACUUUCUCACCAUUCACCACCUUCCCUCUAUCAUGUAUUCCUUGAACAGCUUAGAUUCCAUGUUUCAGUACUACAAUUAUUACCUUGAAAAUAUCUCCAACUCCCUGGCCUGCUUCUACUGCCAUCAAAAUAGCUUAAAAAUCUAACUGCAAUUCUCUAUACCUGAAAUCAAGCAACUAAAUGUCACUGGAGAAAAAUCACACUAGGUUUGCCUAGCUUUUCUUAAAUUCAUGACAACCCCAGAAGCAUAUAACGCUGUCCAAAUUAGUAUUUUCCCAUUAAGCUGAAGUCGUCUUCUCCUCAAAUUCCUACAUCAAACUGCUUUAGCCUUAAACUACUUUAAUGCAUCUCAAAUUUAUUUCAUCAUCAGUGACCCUUACACUUCCUUUUUGUCCUCAGUAGUGCAUUAUGGAAUAAAAAUAUAUUAUCUAAAAAUAUAAAUAUUUUAAAAUUGUGAUAUAGUCAAGCCCUUUAAAAACAUUAGUGAUGCUUAAUUGUGCUAAAACAACUGAAUGAGCCACAAGGAAGUUCACUUGAUCUCCCCCCAUUUACACUGACUCGAUAAACACUUUCAAACUAUUCCAUUUUAAAGAAAAAUGUUUGUAUUAUUAAAAAGAGAGAAAUAGAUGGCCAUUACACUUAGAGUAUUAACAUUGUGAACUCCAUGAAGGCAGUUCUUCUGUGAGUAUCCAUUACUAUAUUUUAUUAAAGUGAAUAUGUUGUAUAACCCAAUGUUUUGACUUGUACUUUGUUGGCAAAAUAAUCAUAGUCCAAUAAAAUAUCCAAAUGUAAUCAAAAGUAUCUCCCAAAUGUCUUCUGCUUCACUAUGGUCUCAGCUCUAUUUACAUUACUUAUGUAAUAGAAAUCAUCAUUCUCUAGAUGAGGGUGAAUUAUAAACUAUAAAUAAUUCUGUGUCAAAGGAUCCACAAGUAAUUAUGAGACAGAUUCAACAACAAAGCCUUCUUCAGAGCUACUUUACAUUGUUUUCUAGGGUCAUUUAAGAAAAUAAAGAGGAAAAAUUAUUCCAACUCACCAUAAAUGCUGAUAAUUACAUGAGUAAAUAUGAAAGUACUUCAGAAAAUGAAAGAAAAAAUGCUUAUUUGGCAAUGUGCUGUUAUUUAUAUACUAGCACCUUUGAGCCUUAAAAAAAUUCAACAGCAUUUACAACACAUGCUAUAUCUAUUUUAGCUAUGCAGAUGCUCACUGAAAAGCAGAUAAUCAAAGGAACAGAACAGCAGAAAUAAAAUACAUAUUUAGUGGGCACUUAUGAAUUGAAUAAAAAUUAGGUUUGAAUAUAGCCCAUUAAACUCAUCAUUAAAGAAAUUUUGUUGCAGAAGAUUCACAAUUAUUGGUACCACUGACAUGAUGCUGCUGUUAAUGCUCUGAUUAUAUGAGUACAGUUUGUUUUGAAACUACAAAAUGUUAAAAUCAGAAUGCUCAAACUGUGAAGGUAAUGUAAUUUACCAGGACACACUCUUAAUUCUACUAUAAUAAUAACAUAGAAAAUUUGACCAUAAUCAAACAGUAAGUUCAGCAGAGCAUGAACUUGCUACCAUUACGAACUAUGAUUCUAUACAUUAUUUAACUCGUUAACAGAAACUGUAAAUGGUUUUAACUCAUUAGUUUCCAAAGUGAAAUUUAUAUUUCAUUUAUUCCUCAGAGAAAUACUAUGCCUGACAAAUCCCAAUAAUCUUUUCAUGUAAAGAUAGCAUUCCAGCCCACAAUACAGCUUCUAACUUCUUCGUAUGAAUGUUUUUGGGGGAUUGAGGACAAAGGGAGAAUGGAAAUGUCCCUAGUGCUCUUAAAACAAAAUAGGGCAACAUGUUUUAUUUACAAUUGAACCUAAAAUUUAAGAGCCCACCAAACUGGAAUCAGAAUGAACAGAACAGGCCAGGCAUGGUGGCUCACGCCUGUAAUCCCAACAUUUUGGGAAGCCGAGGCAGGUGGAUCACCUGAGGUCAGGAGUUCAAGACCAGCCUGGCUAACAUGGUGAAACUCUGUCUCCACUAAAAAAUACAAAUAUAGCCAGGUGUGGUGGUGCACACCCAUAAUCCCAGCUACUCGGGAGGCUGAGGCAGGAGAACUGCAUGAACCCAGGAGGUGGAGGCUGCAGUGAGCCAAGAUCGCAGCACUGCACUCCAGCCUGGGUGACAGAGUGAGACUCCAUCUCAAAAACAAACAAAGAAAAACAAACAGAAUGAAAAAUAAAACAAAGAAAACAAAACAAAGAAAAACAAAAAGAAUGAGUAGAAUAUUUUAUGAGUUCACAUGGCACCCAAACUUAAACUCUAAUUAAGAACCACUUUGAGAAACAGCACCAACUGGUGGUUAAAAAAUCACUUACAGCACUUACUCUAUGUACAUGAACUGCAUUACUUAUGAAGCAUUAUAAUCAAACUCAGGUUAAAUAGCUUUUAGUAAAUUUAAAGUGGACAGAAAUGGAAUUCAAUGGCAAACAAAAUCCUCAGACAGAUCAUUUGCUUAAAUUCGACAUAGCAUGAACCCCACUUUUUGAAUUUUGGCAAUAAAACUAGUUUUAUUUCAUUAGCUUUACUCAUAUAAAAAUGCUUCCCACUUUUCAGUAAAUGGCACAUAUUUAUAACUUCCAAGAUGCCCUUAUAAAGAUUACCUAAAAUAAUACACAGAAACCCAAAACACAUAAAAAACCUGCAAGUAUUAUCUAUUAUAUACUAACUAAAUAUAAAUCUUUAUACAUCUAUUAUACAUUUUCAAUUUUUCCUUAGUUAUUAUUCCAACAGAUAUAAACAAUGCUGGGAUCAACAUACUUGCAAAUGUGCCAACAAAUAUGCCAGAAUAUAUAGGACAAGCAAUUUCAAAACACAAAGUUUACAGCUACUUUCUAAGCCAUUAAUUUGACUAGCUUUUAUAAAUAAUUGUUGUAUUUGUAAUAUUAUAAAAUAUACUGCUAGUCUCAAAAAAUUUUAUAUACUUUAGUUCAACAAAUAUUCCUCCCCACCCCUCCAAAAAAGAACAAUGUAAUCACUUUAAUUUUUGUUAGCAGUCAGAAAAAUUUUUAUUUAGGAAAAAUAUUCCCUCAAUAUUUAUUAGAUAAUGAAUCUUA
rnacentral:lncRNA from 1 species